rnacentral:rRNA from 1 species
GACGAACCGUGCGAACGUUAUUCGGAAUCAUUGGGCUUAAAGGGCGCGUAGGCGGCGGUGUAAGUUGGAAGUGAAAUCCCAUCGGCUCAACCGUGGAAUCGCUCCCAGUACUGCAUCGCUCGAGGGGGAUAGGGGUCUGCGGAACUACCGGUGGAGCGGUGAAAUGUGUUGAUAUCGGUGGGAACGCCAGUGGCGAAAGCGGCAGACUUGACCCUUCCUGACGCUGAGGCGCGAAAGCGUGGGGAGCGAACAGG